rnacentral:rRNA from 1 species
CGGGACGGGUGAGUAACGCGUGGAUAACCUGCCUCGACACUGGGGAUAACAGUUAGAAAUGGCUGCUAAUACCGCAUAAGCGCACAGUACCGCAUGGUACGGUGUGAAAAACCCAGGUGGUGUGAGAUGGAUCCGCGUCUGAUUAGCCAGUUGGCGGGGUAACGGCCCACCAAAGCGACGAUCAGUAGCCGACCUGAGAGGGUGACCGGCCACAUUGGGACUGAGACACGGCCCAA